AAAUGAAUUGACGGGAGCCCGCACAAGCGGUGGAGCAUGUGGUUUAAUUCGAUGCAACGCGAAGAACCUUACCUGGGCUCGAAGUGUAGUGUAAACUCAUGAAAGUGAGGUAUCCCUUCGGGGAGCGCUACAUAGGUGCUGCAUGGCUGUCGUCAGCUCGUGUCGUGAGAUGUUGGGUUAAGUCCCGCAACGAGCGCAACCCUUGUCCUUAGUUGCCAUCAGGUAAAGCUGGGAACUCUAAGGAGACUGCCGGCGUUAAGUCGGAGGAAGGUGGGGAUGACGUCAAGUCCUCAUGGCCCUUACGUCCAGGGCUACACACGUGCUACAAUGGCCGGUACAAAACGUCGCAAAACCGCGAGGUCAAGCUAAUCGUAAAAAACCGGUCUCAGUUCGGAUUGCUCUCUGCAACUCGAGAGCAUGAAGUCGGAAUCGCUAGUAAACGCGAAUCAGCAGGUCGCGUUGAAUACGUUCCCGGGCUUUGUACACACCGCCCGU
rnacentral:rRNA from 1 species